rnacentral:rRNA from 1 species
UACGUAGGGUGCAAGCGUUAAUCGGAAUUACUGGGCGUAAAGCGUGCGCAGGCGGUUAUAUAAGACAGAUGUGAAAUCCCCGGGCUCAACCUGGGAACUGCAUUUGUGACUGUAUAGCUAGAGUACGGUAGAGGGGGAUGGAAUUCCGCGUGUAGCGGUGAAAUGCAUAGAUAUAGGAAGGAACACCAGUGGCGAAGGCGACCACCUGGGCCUGUACUGACGCUCAUGCACGAAAGCGUGGGGAGCAAACAGG